rnacentral:rRNA from 1 species
GAUCCUGGCUCAGGAUGAACGCUAGCUACAGGCUUAACACAUGCAAGUCGAGGGGCAGCGGGAUUGAAGCUUGCUUCAAUUGCCGGCGACCGGCGCACGGGUGAGUAACGCGUAUCCAACCUUCCGUACACUCAGGGAUAGCCUUUCGAAAGAAAGAUUAAUACCUGAUGGUAUGAUGAGAUCGCAUGGUAUCAUCAUUAAAGAUUUAUCGGUGUACGAUGGGGAUGCGUUCCAUUAGGUAGUAGGCGGGGUAACGGCCCACCUAGCCUACGAUGGAUAGGGGGUUCUGAGAGGAAGGUCCCCCCACAUUGGAACUGAGACACGGUCCAAACUCCUACGGGAGGCAGCAGUGAGGAAUAUUGGUCAAUGGACGAGAGUCUGAACCAGCCAAGUAGCGUGAAGGAUGAAGGUCCUACGGAUUGUAAACUUCUUUUAUAAGGGAAUAAAACCUCCCACGUGUGGGAGCUUGUAUGUACCUUAUGAAUAAGCAUCGGCUAACUCCGUG